GAUGAACGCUGGCGGCGUGCCUAAUACAUGCAAGUCGAGCGAACAGACGAGGAGCUUGCUCCUCUGACGUUAGCGGCGGACGGGUGAGUAACACGUGGAUAACCUACCUAUAUGACUGGGAUAACUUCGGGACACCGGAGCUUAUACCGGAUAAUAUAUUGAACCGCAUGGUUCAAUAGUGAAUGACGGUUUUGCUGUCACUUAUAGAUGGAUCCGCGCCGCAUUAGCUAGUUGGUAAGGUAACAGCUUACCACGGCGACGAUGCGUAGCCGACGUGAGAGGGUGAUCGGCCACCCUGGAAGGGAGACACGGUCCAGACUCCUACGGGAGGCAGCAGUAGGGAAUCUUCCGCAAUGGGCGGAAGCCUGACGGAGCAACGCCGCGUGAGUGAUGAAGGUCUUCGGAUCGUAAAACUCUGUUAUUAGGGAAGAACAAAUGUGUAAGUAACUAUGCACGUCUUGACGGUACCUAAUCAGAAAGCCACGGCUAACUACGUG
rnacentral:rRNA from 1 species